CUGGGCCCUCCCUGGUCAGGAGCUGGGCUUCUGUGAUUCCACCUAAUGACCCUCACAAAGCCUGCUGUCCACUGGGCCCUGCAAUGCCCAAGAGCCGCACUGCAGUUAGGUAUUCGACUAAAAGGCACUGGAAGCACCUAGGGGAGUAGGCCCUGCUCUCCAUAGAAGAAGAAACCGAGGUUCCCAGAGAUCCAGACGGUUGACUAAAAUAACUGGUUAGUAGCAAAGCCACAACUGGACCUGGCUGCCCGCUGAUUUCAAAGUUCAGAUGUGGAGGCCAUACCCAUGGCCUUGGCCUCCAGCAAAGUUCCAUGUUUAUAUUUUCACCUCAUUAUCAGCUGCUUUUGAGCUAGACGUCCUGAAAAAUGCACAGGGCCUUUUUGAAAGGAAAGUGACCACGACACUCAGUGCGACCAAGAGAUCUUAAUUGCAGCAGUGCAACAGAGAAGAGAGAGAGAGAGAGCGAGGGGGGGGGGCCUGGCAGGAGGGAGAUUUUAUAGCCCAAAUCUAAUGGGGUCUCUGGGUCUGCAAGCUGCCUUGUUGGCAUACAAGGGGGUUAAGUGCUCAGCCUUGAGCGGGGACUUGGGCGUUGGGCUUGAAGCAAACAGGUGAUAACGAGCCAGACAGAGGGUUGAGUGGCCAGCUCACCCUGCAGCUACUUAGUUUGGCCUGCCCUGCAGACAGCUGACUCAGCCCGUGCUGCACCUGACACUUUUCCUGUGAGUUACUAGUGAGGGAUCAAGCGGUGGGAUCCCGGAGCUCUGUGUCUAUGGUGGUUUGGAGUGAGGCAUCCCCAAAAGCUCGCGUGUGAGACAAUGCAGGAGGGUUGGAGGGAAAGGAUGGGCUGUGAGAGCCUUGACCCAAUCGAUCCCCUGAUUGGCUUAGUCGGUGGUGGCUGGAGGCCAGUGUGGCUGGAGGAGGUGGGCAUAUUAGGGCAGGGCUUUGGGG
rnacentral:lncRNA from 1 species